rnacentral:rRNA from 1 species
AUUGAACGCUAGCGGGAUGCUUUACACAUGCAAGUCGAACGGCAGCGCGGACUUCGGUCUGGCGGCGAGUGGCGAACGGGUGAGAAAUGUAUCGGAACGUGCCCAGUAGCGGGGGAUAACUACGCGAAAGCGUAGCUAAUACCGCAUACGCCCUACGGGGGAAAGCAGGGGAUCGUAAGACCUUGCACUAUUGGAGCGGCCGAUAUCGGAUUAGCUAGUUGGUGAGGUAACGGCUCACCAAGGCGACGAUCCGUAGCUGGUUUGAGAGGACGACCAGCCACACUGGGACUGAGACACGGCCCAGACUCCUACGGGAGGCAGCAGUGGGGAAUUUUGGACAAUGGGGGCAACCCUGAUCCAGCCAUCCCGCGUGUGCGAUGAAGGCCUUCGGGUUGUAAAGCACUUUUGGCAGGAAAGAAACGUCGCGGGCUAAUACCCCGUGGAACUGACGGUACCUGCAGAAUAAGCACCGGCUAACUACGUG